rnacentral:rRNA from 1 species
UACGUAGGGACCAAGCGUUGUUCGGAUUUACUGGGCGUAAAGGGCGCGUAGGCGGCUCUGUAAGUCACUUGUGAAAUCUCUGAGCUUAACUCAGAACGGCCAAGUGAUACUGCAGUGCUAGAGUGUAGAAGGGGCAAUCGGAAUUCUUGGUGUAGCGGUGAAAUGCGUAGAUAUCAAGAGGAACACCUGAGGUGAAGACGGGUUGCUGGGCUGAUACUGACGCUGAGGCGCGAAAGCUAGGGUAGCAAACAGG